AGCUCCAAUAGCGUAUAUUAAAGUUGUUGCGGUUAAAAAGCUCGUAGUUGGAUUCCUGUAUGGAAGGAGAGUCCUCACACUUUGGGUGGGGGUUGUUGCCUUCUUUACAUCUUUCUGAGUUGGUGAUUCUCACUUAAUUGCGAGGGCAUCAUGCUCGGGACUUUUACUUUGAGGAAAAGAGAGUGCUCCAAGCAGGUAAGUGCCUGAAUACGUUAGCAUGGAAUAACAGUAUCGGAUCAUCGUACAGCUGAAGGUGUCUGCACGAAGAUAAAGGUGAACAGGGAUUGUUGGGGGGCAUUCGUAUUUAACUGUCAGAGGUGAAUUCUUGGAUUUGUUGAAGACGAGCU
rnacentral:rRNA from 1 species